AUACGGAGGAUCCGAGCGUUAUCCGGAUUUAUUGGGUUUAAAGGGUGCGCAGGCGGCCAUUUAAGUCAGCGGUUAAAUCGUGGGGCUCAACCCCAUUCUGCCGUUGAUACUGGGUGGCUUGAUUGCGGUCGAGGUUGGCGGAAUUCGUUGUGUAGCGGUGAAAUGCAUAGAUAUGACGAAGAACACCGAUUGCGUAGGCAGCUGACCAGACCGCAAAUGACGCUCAUGCACGAAAGGGCGGGGAUCGAACAGGAUUAGAUACCCUGGUAGUCCGCACAGUAAACGAUGAAUACUUGUUUUCGGCGAUAUAAUGUCGGAGGCAAAGCGAAAGCGAUAAGUAUUCCACCUGGGGAGUACGCCGGCAACGGUGAAACUCAAAUGAAUUGGCGGGG
rnacentral:rRNA from 1 species